rnacentral:rRNA from 1 species
CGGCGAUUUCCGAAUGGGGAAACCCAGUGUGAUUCGUCACACUAUCAUUAACUGAAUCCAUAGGUUAAUGAGGCGAACCGGGGGAACUGAAACAUCUAAGUACCCCGAGGAAAAGAAAUCAACCGAGAUUCCCCCAGUAGCGGCGAGCGAACGGGGAGGAGCCCAGAGCCUGAAUCAGUGUGUGUGUUAGUGGAAGCGUCUGGAAAGGCGCGCGAUACAGGGUGACAGCCCCGUACACAAAAAUGCACAUACUGUGAGCUCGAUGAGUAGGGCGGGACACGUGGUAUCCUGUCUGAAUAUGGGGGGACCAUCCUCCAAGGCUAAAUACUCCUGACUGACCGAUAGUGAACCAGUACCGUGAGGGAAAGGCGAAAAGAACCCCGGCGAGGGGAGUGAAAAAGAACCUGAAACCGUGUACGUACAAGCAGUGGGAGCCUCUUAAUGGGGUGACUGCGUACCUUUUGUAUAAUGGGUCAGCGACUUAUAUUCUGUAGCAAGGUUAACCGAAUAGGGGAGCCGAAGGGAAACCGAGUCUUAACUGGGCGUUAAGUUGCAGGGUAUAGACCCGAAACCCGGUGAUCUAGCCAUGGGCAGGUUGAAGGUUGGGUAACACUAACUGGAGGACCGAACCGACUAAUGUUGAAAAAUUAGCGGAUGACUUGUGGCUGGGGGUGAAAGGCCAAUCAAACCGGGAGAUAGCUGGUUCUCCCCGAAAGCUAUUUAGGUAGCGCCUCGUGAAUUCAUCUCCGGGGGUAGAGCACUGUUUCGGCAAGGGGGUCAUCCCGACUUACCAACCCGAUGCAAACUGCGAAUACCGGAGAAUGUUAUCACGGGAGACACACGGCGGGUGCUAACGUCCGUCGUGAAGAGGGAAACAACCCAGACCGCCAGCUAAGGUCCCAAAGUCAUGGUUAAGUGGGAAACGAUGUGGGAAGGCCCAGACAGCCAGGAUGUUGGCUUAGAAGCAGCCAUCAUUUAAAGAAAGCGUAAUAGCUCACUGGUCGAGUCGGCCUGCGCGGAAGAUGUAACGGGGCUAAACCAUGCACCGAAGCUGCGGCAGCGACGCUUAUGCGUUGUUGGGUAGGGGAGCGUUCUGUAAGCCUGUGAAGGUGGCCUGUGAGGG